GGGUUGUGAGGUUAAGCGACUAAGCGUACACGGUGGAUGCCCUGGCAGUCAGAGGCGAUGAAGGGCGUGCUAAUCUGCGAUAAGCGCCGGUAAGGUGAUAUGAACCGUUAUAACCGGCGAUACCCGAAUGGGGAAACCCAGUGUGACUCGUCACACUAUCAUUAACUGAAUCCAUAGGUUAAUGAGGCGAACCGGGGGAACUGAAACAUCUAAGUACCCCGAGGAAAAGAAAUCAACCGAGAUUCCCCCAGUAGCGGCGAGCGAACGGGGAGGAGCCCAGAGCCUGAAUCAGCAUGUGUGUUAGUGGAAGCGUCUGGAAAGGCGCGCGAUACAGGGUGACAGCCCCGUACACAAAAGCGCAUGUGCUGUGAGCUCGAUGAGUAGGGCGGGACACGUGGUAUCCUGUCUGAAUAUGGGGGGACCAUCCUCCAAGGCUAAAUACUCCUGACUGACCGAUAGUGAACCAGUACCGUGAGGGAAAGGCGAAAA
rnacentral:rRNA from 2 species